UUGGCCUCUAGAGAAUGUUGCCUCACGAUGAUACGAUGUCGGCUCCAUUGCACUUAGAUUAAGUUAUUCCCACCAUGCUUAGUUUGUGAAGGGGUUCAAGAAUAGCCUCACGAUGAUACGAUGUCGGCUAUCCUCGUUGCCUACACUCACCUCAUCAUAUGUUUAUGAACUCCUCCUGGAUGUAAGCACAUACUUUGAACUCCCCCAUGAUAGGGUGAAGCCGGUGCAUGAGUCACAAACGAUUGGAGCCCACCACGGUGGAAGGCCUAUGAAGAGAUGUUCAAAACAUCUCUCGCUUAUCAACUUAAUAUUCGUUUGUCGAGGGAGUAGUUUUGGGCUACAUCAAAACAUUUUAAUCACAUUAAAAGAACUUGGGCCUAUCACAACCAUUGGUCCGAGUUUAAUAUGAAUUAGUAGUUUAUAAUACUCCCACUAUUUCGAAGAAAUAAGUGAGACUAUAUGGAACUACUAACGAAUGCAUUGCAUCCUCAUAUGGACUAUAUAGUCAUAUUAGGUCUUAGGAUGAUUAUGAAUCGAUUAAUUUGAUCCAACACGAGCCUUGUGUUGGACCUUGGGUUGAAGGUAGAUAGUUGUUGAUUUUAGUUACGCAUUUAAUCCAAUUAAACCGUUAUUUCCUAUUGGGCGUUGGACCCAACUAUUCCAUUUUGCAUACAUAUAAA
rnacentral:lncRNA from 1 species